rnacentral:lncRNA from 1 species
UCCUUGUAUCCAACUACCUCCAGCAGUCUCACAAGUUACCAAGUCUGAUCAUUUGUUGCUUUCAAUUGCCUCCCUGAAGAUCCUCUCAAGGUCUUGCACUUCUUCAGACACAAUUGAAACAUAACCCACAAGGUCUCCAUGGUCAUCCCCUUUGGUUCAACAAUACCACUCUCCUCCCUAUCUCCGAUUAGAUAGCCAAGAGCUAAUGUUGACUGUCUACCACUAUUGGAAGACUCCACCUCAAACUGAGUUUCAACCAAAGUAUACCCACCAUGAUCUCCACCUUGUAACACGCAAGACCUUUUCAACUCCUCUGAAACAUACUUCAAGCUAUUGUUAGUCUCCAACAAUUCCAGUUCAGUUCAACACCUAGUAAACCUGAUUCACUAGUCCAACUAAACUCAUGUCACUAACAUGUCCACCCGAAGUCCCACAACUCAACCACAUUAUGAGAGUCACCACUAGUUAAAGAUGCAUGACCAACUAUCUUUGCAUCUAAGUUCAGAAACAUACCUCACAUCGUGUAAAGAAA